rnacentral:rRNA from 1 species
AUUGAACGCUGGCGGCAUGCUUUACACAUGCAAGUCGAACGGUAACAGGUUAAGCUGACGAGUGGCGAACGGGUGAGUAAUGCAUCGGAACGUGCCCGAUCGUGGGGGAUAACGCAGCGAAAGCUGCGCUAAUACCGCAUACGAUCUGAGGAUGAAAGCGGGGGACCGUAAGGCCUCGCGCGAUCGGAGCGGCCGUGGUCAGAUUAGGUAGUGGGGGGGGUAAAGGCUCACCAAGCCGACGAUCUGUAGCUGGUCUGAGAGGACGACCAGCCACGCUGGGAGUGAGACACGUCCCAGACUCCUGUGGGAGGCAGCAGUGGGGAAUUUUGGACAAUGGGCGCAAGCCUGAUCCAGCAAUGCCGCGUGCAGGAAGAAGGCCUUCGGGUUGUAAACGGCUUUUGUACGGAGCGAAAAGGUCCUUUCUAAUACAGAGGGCUCAUGACGGUACCGUAAGAAUAAGCACCGGCUAACUACGUGCCAGCCGCCGCCGUAA